rnacentral:tRNA from 1 species
GUCCAGAGUAACCUAGUGGACAUGGCAUCUGCCCGGUAAGCGGAACACUGUGGGUUCGAUUCCCAUCCCUGGACA